rnacentral:rRNA from 1 species
GUGAGGAAUAUUGGUCAAUGGACGAGAGUCUGAACCAGCCAAGUCGCGUGAAGGAAGACGGUUCUAUGAAUUGUAAACUUCUUUUGUGCAGGAAUAAAGUGGGUUACGUGUAACCUUUUGUAUGUACUGUACGAAUAAGGAUCGGCUAACUCCGUGCCAGCAGCCGCGGUAAUACGGAGGAUCCGAGCGUUAUCCGGAUUUAUUGGGUUUAAAGGGUGCGUAGGUGGAUUGAUAAGUCAGCGGUGAAAGUUUGCAGCUUAACUGUAAAAUUGCCGUUGAAACUGUCGGUCUUGAGUGCAAAUGAGGUAGGCGGAAUGUGUUGUGUAGCGGUGAAAUGCUUAGAUAUAACACAGAAUUCCGAUUGCGAAGGCAGCUUACUGGGAUGCAACUGACACUGAUGCACGAAAGCGUGGGUAUCAAACAGGAUUAGAUACCCCGGUAGUCC